CUGAAUUGAACCUGGGUCUCCUACACCCCUGAAAAAGUAUCCUAUUCACUUGGCUAAAAGUUAUAUAUCUGCUUCUCUCCUCCCAUCUGGCAUUUUAUCAAUCUAGUCCUUUUUGUAAGAGUGCCUAAAAUCUAAAUGAAAAAUUUCAGGUUAGGUCAAAAUGAAACUUUUCUUUUCAACUCCACUCCAAAUAUUUUCAACUUUUUUAUUUGCCAAAAAAUGUUGUGUUCUGUUCAACCAGAAAUGAAAGAGUUUGUUAUUGUUUGGAAUUGCCAGUAAAGUGAAAAAUCCAUUAUUCGCUCUUUGAAGCAUGUACUGUGGUAAGAAUAGAGUACAAGAAGCAGGAAAUGAAGCCAGUAGAAGAAGAAACUGGGAGCUGCUGGAGGUAGAUAAGAAACUCGCAUACAAAUUAACUCCACCCUGGAAAGUAUAGACAGAAAAGAAAAAAAGAAGUGUGAAGAAAGAGUCAGACCAAGAUGAGUUCAAAAAGAACAUAAAAAAAAAAAAGCAGAAAGAAGGAAGGACAAACUCUAAGAAAAAUGAGGAAAGAAACAGGGCCAGACCGAACAUCCACAGAAGUCAGUGGAAAGACUACCAUUAACUUCAGUGAGCACUGGAUCAGGGUGGUAAUAAGUAAACUUCCUCAUUAGAGAAAGAGAAAUAACUUCAAUACCAGCACUAUGGCAUACUAAGAAGUAGCAUACAUUUAAUUCAAUUUUCAUCUGUUUGGUCUCUGCAAUCAAGAUGAGGUCACAGAAAUUUCCAGUUUGCAUUUUCUCAUAGGAAGGGAUAUGAGUGUGAAAUUCCCUCAGCUCUUGACUUUUCAACCUCUGAGGAAUGCAUUGGCUGUUUUCUUUUACCAUCUGAACUAAUGAGAAUAACUAUGCUGCAGAUCUACAUUAAAGCCAGCUUCAGUGUGGCCAGGAUUUCACCCAGGGUUUGUAAAUUUUAGAUGCUCUAUCUUCUGUGUUAAAGAAAUCACCUACCUGAAACAUCAAGAUUUUCUUUGUAGAUAUGUCUACGCUGAUGUCCAUCUGGUCUCAUUAUAGGACACACUUUAACUACAAAAGAAUACAGUAUAACAGCUCCCAUCAAACAUUAGCAAAUAAAAAAUAAAUCAGACAAAAUUAUUGUCAUGUGUAAUAAACAGUGAAUUGCAAGGCAACAUGAACAGAGUUCAAUUUUCAAUGUAAUUAGAUUACUACUAAUAUUCCUUCUUGUUUCUUUAUAUUUAGGAUUAUGAAAUAAACCAAACUACCAUAUUAAAACAACAGUAAUUACAUUUUAGUGUACAAAAUAUUCUCUUAAUACUAUAAUUAUAAACAGAUAAGAUGUAAUCAUGUUUUAAUUCAAUCAUCUGUGAUUAAAGCAAGCACAUAUUAACUAUUCAACCACUAUGGGA